AUUGAACGCUGGCGACAGGCUUAACACAUGCAAGUCGAGCGGGGUGAUGGUGCUUGCACUAUCACUUAGCGGCGGACGGGUGAGUAAUGCUUAGGAAUCUGCCUAUUAGUGGGGGACAACAUCUCGAAAGGGAUGCUAAUACCGCAUACGUCCUACGGGGGAAAGCAGGGGAUCACUUGUGACCUUGCGCUAAUAGAUGAGCCGAAGUCGGAUUAGCUAGUUGGUGGGGUAAAGGCCUACCAAGGCGACGAUCUGUAGCGGGUCGGAGAGGAGGACACGCCGCACUGGGACUGAGACACGGCCCAGACUCCUACGGGAGGCAGCAGUGGGGAAUAUUGGACAAUGGGGGGAACCCUGAUCCAGCCAUGCCGCGUGUGUGAAGAAGGCCUUAUGGUUGUAAAGCACUUUAAGCGAGGAGGAGGCUCUUUUGGUUAAUACCCAGAAUGAGUGGACGUUACUCGCAGAAUAAGCACCGGCUAACUCUGUGCCAGCAGCCGCCGUAA
rnacentral:rRNA from 1 species